rnacentral:piRNA from 1 species
GCCAGCACAUGCUGUUUUAUGAUGGAUGU